rnacentral:lncRNA from 1 species
GUUUGGAAGAUGUACCAAAGUAUUUAUAUUCAUAGCUGGUCUAUGGGUAGGUGGCUGCAGUAUUAGUCUGGAUUUCCACACUUCUGCAGUGUUCUGUAAUAAUAUCAGAUUAGUUACCAAAAUAUGGAAACCCUUCACAUAAGCACCUAGAACACAGUACAUGAAACUAUUUCAAUAUAAUGAAAAUGUAACUCAUGUCCCGAGUCUAAAGGUUGACAUGCACAGAUCUUGAAGGCUAUAUAAUUUCAACAAUAAAUAAUACUGGCUUCUUAGCACUUGUAUUCACCUUCCAUUUGCAUGCCAUGAGAAUGGUGAGUGCUGGUGCUGGAUUCUGAAGAGAGCCCAAGUCUGAGAAGCUUCUGUGAAUGCUACCAGUUUUGAACAGAUGAGAAUCUGAGAGUGACAGUGAGGAUGGGAAAAUGAAAAAUGGAAAAAUUCAAACUGGUUUUAGCCCAUGUGCCCGUGAGUUGGGUAGGGGAAAAGCUGCUUGUAUAUACUUCCAAAGGCUGAGGCCAAACGUGGCAAAACUCAGAAAAUAUUAAUUUGCCAUUAACAUUAAUUUCCUGCCCAUCUCAGUCUGCAACCCAGUCCCCAGUUUGCAGGCGAGAUGCAGGCAGACAUCCCACUCUGUGGGGGCUGACUCCUUCUCUCCCCACAGGCUACUGGGCUUGUCGUGUCCUGCCCAGGAGCACACGAGACUGAGGAGGACUGGAGCUGUAUGAGGCCCACAUGGAAGUUAGAAAGGAAAGAAAACAAGGACUCAACUUUGAAGGGGAAACAAACCUGCAAAGAAAAUGAGAAGUUGGAAACAUUUCUUUGCCUUCCUGAGGAAAUGAAGAAAUGCUCUUCAGGAUCUGCAUUCUGUGUCUGUACUGGAACAUACAAAGGCUUGCUUGUUCUACUGAGGAUAGGGAAGUUUUACUUGAAGAUAUUAUUUUCUGAAAUCUGAGCGUGACAAAAUAAACUUCCUUGUAUUACUACUACUGUGGAAGAA